GUUAAGCUGACGAGUGGCGAACGGGUGAGUAAUAUAUCGGAACGUGCCCAGUCGUGGGGGAUAACGCAGCGAAAGCUGUGCUAAUACCGCAUACGAUCUCUGGAUGAAAGCGGGGGACCUUCGGGCCUCGCGCGAUUGGAGCGGCCGAUAUCAGAUUAGCUAGUUGGCGGGGUAAAGGCCCACCAAGGCGACGAUCUGUAGCUGGUCUGAGAGGACGACCAGCCACACUGGAACUGAGACACGGUCCAGACUCCUACGGGAGGCAGCAGUGGGGAAUUUUGGACAAUGGGCGCAAGCCUGAUCCAGCAAUGCCGCGUGCAGGAUGAAGGCCUUCGGGUUGUAAACUGCUUUUGUACGGAACGAAAAGGUCUGCCCUAAUACGGUGGGCCCAUGACGGUACCGUAAGAAUAAGCACCGGCUAACUACGUGCCAGCAGCCGCGGUAAUACGUAGGGUGCGAGCGUUAAUCGGAAUUACUGGGCGUAAAGCGUGCGCAGGCGGUUAUAUAAGACAGAUGUGAAAUCCCCGGGCUCAACCUGGGACCUGCAUUUGUGACUGUAUAGCUAGAGUACGGUAGAGGGGG
rnacentral:rRNA from 1 species